CAGUCGCCGCGGUAACACGUAGGGUGCGAGCGUUAAUCGGAAUUACUGGGCGUAAAGCGUGCGCAGGCGGUUGUGUAAGACAGGUGUGAAAUCCCCGGGCUUAACCUGGGAACCGCGCUUGUGACUGCACAGCUAGAGUAUGGCAGAGGGGGGUGGAAUUCCACGUGUAGCAGUGAAAUGCGUAGAGAUGUGGAGGAACACCGAUGGCGAAGGCAGCCCCCUGGGCCAAUACUGACGCUCAUGCACGAAAGCGUGGGGAGCAAACAGGAUUAGAUACCCCCGUAGUCCCUGUCUCUUAUAC
rnacentral:rRNA from 1 species